rnacentral:tRNA from 1 species
GGGAAUGGUUAGGUCCCGGUGGGCCUCCCGGUCUUCAAAAUCGGUUGUCGGGUCGCGUGGCGAGCCGUGGUGGGUUCGACUCCCAUCCAUUCCCG